rnacentral:piRNA from 1 species
UGAGAAUAAUCUAAAAAGCAGGA